rnacentral:rRNA from 1 species
CCUACGGGAGGCAGCAGUGAGGGAUAUUGCACAAUGGGGGGAACCCUGAUGCAGCGACGCCGCGUGGGUGAAGAAGCGCCUCGGCGCGUAAAGCCCUAUCAGCAGGGAAGAAGAAAUGACGGUACCUGAGUAAGAAGCACCGGCUAAAUACGUGCCAGCAGCCGCGGUAAUACGUAUGGUGCAAGCGUUAUCCGGAUUUACUGGGUGUAAAGGGGGCGCAGACGGCGAUGCAAGCCAGGAGUGAAAGCCCGGGGCCCAACCCCGGGACUGCUCUUGGAACUGCGUGGCUGGAGUGCAGGAGGGGG